UUGACCUCGGAUCAGGUAGGAAUACCCGCUGAACUUAAGCAUAUCAAUAAGCGGAGGAAAAGAAACCAACAGGGAUUGCCUCAGUAACGGCGAGUGAAGCGGCAACAGCUCAAAUUUGAAAUCUGGCCUCACGGUCCGAGUUGUAAUUUGUAGAGGAUGCUUUUGGCGAGGUGCUUUCCGAGUUCCCUGGAACGGGACGCCAUAGAGGGUGAGAGCCCCGUACGGUAAGACCACCGAGCCUCUGUAAAGCUCCUUCGACGAGUCGAGUAGUUUGGGAAUGCUGCUCUAAAUGGGAGGUGUACGUCUUCUAAAGCUAAAUACCGGCCAGAGACCGAUAGCGCACAAGUAGAGUGAUCGAAAGAUGAAAAGCACUUUGAAAAGAGGGUUAAAAAGUACGUGAAAUUGUUGAAAGGGAAGCAUUCAUGACCAGACUUGGGCUUGGUUGAACAUCCGGCGUUCUCGCCGGUGCACUCUGCCAGUCCAGGCCAGCAUCAGUUUGCCCCGGGGGACAAAGGCGGUGGGAAUGUGGCUCCCUUCGGGGAGUGUUAUAGCCCGCCGUGUAAUGCCCUGGGGCGGACUGAGGAACCGCGCUCGGCACGGAUGCGGC
rnacentral:rRNA from 1 species